GACGAACGCUGGCGGCGUGCUUAACACAUGCAAGUCGAACGGAAAGGCCCUGCUUUUGUGGGGUGCUCGAGUGGCGAACGGGUGAGUAACACGUGAGUAACCUGCCCUUGACUUUGGGAUAACUUCAGGAAACUGGGGCUAAUACCGGAUAGGAGCUCCUGCUGCAUGGUGGGGGUUGGAAAGUUUCGGCGGUUGGGGAUGGACUCGCGGCUUAUCAGCUUGUUGGUGGGGUAGUGGCUUACCAAGGCUUUGACGGGUAGCCGGCCUGAGAGGGUGACCGGCCACAUUGGGACUGAGAUACGGCCCAGACUCCUACGGGGGGCAGCAGUGGGGAAUAUUGCACAAUGGGCGGAAGCCUGAUGCAGCAACGCCGCGUGCGGGAUGACGGCCUUCGGGUUGUAAACCGCUUUCGCCUGUGACGAAGCGUGAGUGACGGUAAUGGGUAAAGAAGCACUGGCUAACCACGUG
rnacentral:rRNA from 1 species